GAGAGAGAGAUAACACAACCUAAAGAAGAAAAAAAGAACAGAAAGACGGGAGUGAGGGCCCAAUGGUGAGGUCCCCUGACCACGGGACAAGUGGCUGACGUUUGGAAGGAGAGAGCAUGCGCUUCUUGUUCCACGGGAAAAAGGUGGUGUGGGUUCUUUCUUGGAUCAGGCCUGCCAAGGAGAAGCUAAAAAGGAGAGCACACUGAGCUCUGCACGGCUUUCUGA
rnacentral:lncRNA from 1 species